GAGGCAGAGAUGCGUAGCUGAUGGGAAGCAGGUUAAUAUUCCUGCACCGUCGUAUGAUGCGAUGGGGGGACGGAUCGCGGAAGGUUGUCCAACUGUUGGAAUAGUUGGUUUUUGGCUCAUAGAAGGUACUUAGGCAAAUCCGGGUACGGAAUUCAAGGGGUUGAGACGAGUGCACUUGUGCACGAAGCAAUCGGAAGUGGUUCCAAGAAAAGCCUCUAAGCUUCAGUCAUACGAGACCGUACCGCAAACCGACACAGGUGGGCGAGAUGAGUA
rnacentral:rRNA from 1 species